UUGUUUUCCACCACGUGGCAACAGAUGGUUGGUUGGCUUUUAAUUGGGAAGAAUACGAGGACAAAGAGGUGAUGAAAUCUGAAAUAAUGGCCUUUUGGGAAGGAUUGAACUUGCCAUACCAUAUGAGAUUGAUUGCAAUUUUGCCUGAAAGAAGUGCCCCGUUGUGGUAUUGCAAGAGCCGAUCAGGCUGCUGCUGCGCUUGUGCUGCCUCAUUAAGGGUUCUCGCAGCUAUAGAGAUUUGAAGUAGAGAUAUCACUAUUAGUAGCUUCAAGAGAUUUUGAGGAACAAAAGAAGCCAUUUCGAUUCGAAGACUAGUAAAUAAAGAGAGCUUUCUU
rnacentral:lncRNA from 1 species